CACUGCUUAUUGUCAUUAGAUGUUUUGUCCUGUUCAUCCAAUUUCAUACUCUAUAUAUUCUGUUUUACUUCUACUUAUCUCUAGUCUCUUUCCUUAAAGUGCUAUUCUUUAUUCCUCAAACCUAUUUUUAACUUCUUCAGGAUUUUCUUCUAUCAAAACUAUAAUCUGCAAACAUCAUACACCAUGAAACCUCGCCUUUUAUUAACUUUGUAAUUUCAACAGGAACCAAGUCCACAUCAUUAUGGAGGGCGUUUAUAACAAUUAGUAUUAGUUGGACUUUAAUAAUUCGG